rnacentral:rRNA from 1 species
AAUGUGGAAUUCGCCCUUGUGCCAGCCGCCGCUGGUAAUACGUAGGUGGCAAGCGUUUUCCGGAAUUAUUGGGCGUAAAGGGCUCGCAGGCGGUUUCUUAAGUCUGAUGUGAAAGCCCCCGGCUCAACCGGGGAGGGUCAUUGGAAACUGGGGAACUUGAGUGCAGAAGAGGAGAGUGGAAUUCCACGUGUAGCGGUGAAAUGCGUAGAGAUGUGGAGGAACACCAGUGGCGAAGGCGACUCUCUGGUCUGUAACUGACGCUGAGGAGCGAAAGCGUGGGGAGCGAACAGGAUUAGAUACCCUGGUAGUCCACGCCGUAAACGAUGAGUGCUAAGUGUUAGGGGGUUUCCGCCCCUUAGUGCUGCAGCUAACGCAUUAAGCACUCCGCCUGGGGAGUACGGUCGCAAGACUGAAACUCAAAGGAAUUGACGGGGGCCCGCACAAGCGGUGGAGCAUGUGGUUUAAUUCGAAGCAACGCGAAGAACCUUACCAGGUCUUGACAUCCUCUGACAAUCCUAGAGAUAGGACGUCCCCUUCGGGGGCAGAGUGACAGGUGGUGCAUGGUUGUCGUCAGCUCGUGUCGUGAGAUGUUGGGUUAAGUCCCGCAACGAGCGCAACCCUUGAUCUUAGUUGCCAGCAUUCAGUUGGGCACUCUAAGGUGACUGCCGGUGACAAACCGGAGGAAGGUGGGGAUGACGUCAAAUCAUCAUGCCCCUUAUGACCUGGGCUACACACGUGCUACAAUGGACAGAACAAAGGGCAGCGAAACCGCGAGGUUAAGCCAAUCCCACAAAUCUGUUCUCAG